GACGAACGCUGGCGGCGUGCCUAAUACAUGCAAGUCGAGCGAAGCGGCGGAUGGGUGAGUAACGCGUGGGUAACCUUCCCUUAAGUAUGGGAUACCCUUUGGAAACAGAUGCUAAUACCGGAUAAGAAAGGAUGGACCUGCGUUGCAUUGGCUAGUUGGUAAGGGAACGGCUUCCCAAGGAGAUGAUGCAUAGCCGAGUUGAGAUACUGAUCGGCCACAUUUGGACUGAGACACGGCCCCAACUCCUACGGGAGGCAGCAGUAGGGAAUCUUCCACAAUGGACGAAAGUCUGAUGGAGCAAGGCCGCGUGAGUGAAGAAGGUUUUCGGCUCGUAAAGCUCUGUUGUUGGUGAAGCGGUAAUCAACCAGAAAGUCACGGCUAACUACGUGCCAGCAGCCGCGGUAAUAC
rnacentral:rRNA from 1 species